rnacentral:rRNA from 1 species
CCACGCCCUAAACGAUGUAUGCUUGGUGUUGGUUUUAUAAGAUCAGUGCCGUAGGCAAUCUGUUAAGCAUACCACCUGGGGAGUACGAUCGCAAGUUUGAAACUCAAAGGAAUUGACGGGGGCCCGCACAAGCGGUGGAUUAUGUGGUUUAAUUCGAUGCAACGCGAAGAACCUUACCAGGGUUUGAAUAGUAAAGGAAUGAUGCGGAAACGUAUCAGUCUUCGGACCUUUAUAUAGGUGCUGCAUGGCUGU